CUUUGGUAGGAAUAUAAGAUUUACUUUGAGGUAUUCAGCGUAGUGGUAGUAAUAGAAGAACCAACAUAUCACAAUAUCACAAGGACUAAGUACAUUUAUGUACAAUCAGCAACUGAUGCAAUAUAAUUAUAUGACCACAAUAACUGUACAAUUCAAAAGAUUACAGACUUCUCAUACACAAUGAUCAUGGCAUCACAUUCACACUUUGAACCACAAGCCUAAAAAAAAAAUACAUACCAGACGUGAUUGAUGAUGCACGUGAGAGAUGCUACCGUAAGUUUGAGAGAAUUAGUCUGCCCUCCUGCUAUUAGUUCCUCAGUCAUUGAAGCUCAAAUAUUAACUUCUCUUUUGAGUAAACCCCCAACAAUCAAAUUCAUUCCAUCUUGUAAGCCCAACCAUGUUUGUCAAGAUAUGCUUGGACUGCUUCCUUUAUGGCAAAAUUUGGAAUUAGCUGUGAUGGAUCAAGUGGUUCUCGUGUGAUUGGAUCAAACUUGCCCACCUUCUUUAGAUGGUCAAGGAUAAAUGCUCUUUCAUAUGAAACCCCACUUGGAGUAAUCACAGGAUCACGGAAUAUAUCAAGCGUAAUUUUACAACAUAGGUAGUCCGGCACCUCUGUUGGUGUGUCAUCUUCUACGGCUUUCUCAAACACUUGUCCUAAAUCCUCCAGUUGCUUCAAAUGGGGGGCAAUUGUCUCAUCCAAGAAUCCUUCUGUCUCAGAACUAUCAAGGAAAUGUUUUUCCUUAAGAGCAUUCUCACAGGCUUCUUUCAAGCUUUGUAGUUCCCAUGAACGCUUAGUAGAUGCUUGCUCCCAUUCCAUGUAUUUUGCUUUUGCAAGCUCUUGCCAGAUCUCUUCUACCAUAUAACCGUUUGGGCCUGCACACCUACCAAGAUCCAGAGCCUGUAAAAUGAAGGGUUCAGAUCUCCAUAAAAGAUAAUUAAAUCUAAUGCUUAGGAUCAAAUCUUUAUUAUAAACAACAGCAUCUAACUAGCACCUGACAUAUUAAGAUAUUAUAUAACAAUGGAUACUAUAUCAUAUAAUAUGCUCAAAAAGCUACUUCAAGUUCUCUAAAAUGUUAUCCAGAGAUAGCAAUCACAGCCAAACCAGGUCGCCUUCUUUCAAGUACAUGUUACUCAACUGACUUGUUCCCUCUCACAUCUAUUAUUUAAAAAUCCCACAAGCUACAGUUCAUAAUUUUCACAAUAUCAAAAUAUAAUAAUGGGAAAACCAUCACGACCAAUUGAAUCUAAGUGCACUUGCAUGAGCAUUCACAUCUUCCAUAGCUGGAGCCUAGAGAAUAAACAUUCCUGCGAGGCUUCCAAAAGUGAAAACAUGCAGCAAACAUAUUAGUCCUCAUAUCCAAUCAGAGGUAGGUUACUAGAUCCAUAACCAUAGGACCCUUGUCACCUAAAAUAGCUUUUAGUUGCCAUGUAAAAUGUAAGUAAAAUUCCCAACCAAACAAGCAAGAUUGGUUCUAAUCUAACUGUUCACAGUUCUGUAGAAAAAGUGAAACCUCCAGCCAAUCUCUUUGAGACCACUUUGCAUAUAAAGCCAUAAAAUUCUAGAUUGCCUAAAAUAUAAAUACUUUUGGCACUGGGAAAGCUAUAUCAGCUCUGGCUGCAUACAUUUCAGGUAAUGUCCAUAAGUUUUCCAAGCUUUCAUUUUUUUUCAUGAUAGAAAAAAGCCGUCCAGUUGACCCUCACAUAAGCACAUACUGCUGAACAACAGAAAUAUUUGGUAACAUUUUGAUAUUGAGAUCAAACAACUGAACAGGUUAAGCACCUUGAUAUAUGGACAUUAUAGGAACUUUGUCAUUGCAAAAGUAAUUUUGAAUACAGAUCCCUAACUAGAAGAAAUAUGGCUCCGUAGGCCAGUCACACAUGCUUUCAUAUUCUCUUAGCGGAUUGCACAUUACUUUUAUAUUAUAUUAUUAAGCACUAAUCACUCAUACUAUCCCUCAAAAGACGAGAAGUUCAAAAAAGGAUAAAAGAAAAAGGUACAGAGGGGCAGAUGUAUGGGUUUACUACAUGUGGAUAUUCAAAUUCAAUUUACACUGUUGAAACUUUGUCACUAAGUGAAAUCAAUAGGCUGAAGCUAAAAGAGACAACAAAUUAGUAUUUUACAAAAAAAAAAAAAAUCAGAAGAGUGAUACAACUUAGCAAGAUAUUAACGGCUAAUUUCUCUAUUUACACUUCAUAAUGCACCCAUUAUCAGCUUUGUCCCUCGGAAGAAUCAGUUGUUUGAAUCUUUACUUUUUUAUUUUUAGGAUUUUAAUAUUAGAGAGACUAACCAUCUUCUCUUGUUACUUAAUAUUCAUUACUACCUGACCAGGUUGGACAUAAGAAUUUGGAUUUUGAAUAAUUGAAGAACCUUUUAUUGCAACUGUUCUUCAAAUGUUUCUAUGCAUCCCUUGUUAAUGGUCCUAUUUCUAGGUGUUAACGCCUACAGCCAAAAAAACAUCAACAUGCAAAUUGCACCACUUGUCUGCUACAAAAGUAGCUUCAAGAUGAUAACUACUUACCUUUUGCAAUGCCUUUAUUCCUUCAGCUAACUCAUUCUUCUGUAGUAAUGCAAGUCCCAACAUAUAGUGGGCCUGUCGGCAAAACAAGGGUGAACUUCACAUGAUUGUAAUAAAAUAUAUCUGCACAUUUACGCAAACAUAUAUAUGUGCAUAAGCAAGUUAAGGAGGAUCAUUACAAGGUUAGAUAUUAAAUUGAAGCCCAUUGAUUCUGUUAACAAUAAGCUGAGAAAGAGAGAGAGUUUGGUAAAUGCUGGCAGAACAAUACUGAGUGCCUUGAUGCUAGCUGUAAAAUGCUGGCUUCUUUUUGAACAUACAUUAAAGGAUCAAUCUUUAUUUUGAAAGCAUAAGGAGUUUGACAUGCAAAUGGCAAAAUAAGCAGUCUACACUGCUUUCGAGCAUAAACAUCUUCCAUCAUAAGCAAUUCUUCUUCGUAUUUUCAGGAGGAUACUUUUCUCUCUUCUCAUUAUUUCUCUCUCCCUCACCCUCAUAUUCAUCUCAUUUGAAGCAACAUUCUACUCUAUAAUUGAUUCAGCUCAAAGAUGAAUACUCCUUUUCUUUUAUUAUUAUUUUUUUUAUAGAGAUCAUGUUUUUGGAAGGGAAGAACAACUCGUGCUCUUUAGCGACAUAGAAUCAUCAUCACAAGGUUCCCCUUUCUUUCUCCUUUAAACUGACCUUAUUGAUUUACAGAAUGUCAAGCAAUAUCAAAACAAAAAAUUUCGGUAAAACAAACAUGCGGAUACUCUCUCUUAUGUGGUGGUUCACUCUAAUUUAGUGAGGAAGUCUCACCGAGAGAGAGAGAUGAAAGUAAUAAGGAUAUAAAAGAUUGAGAAGUGGGCCAAUGAACAAAAAGGUUCGUUAUUUUUAGUACAGAAGAGUGACAAUGGCUUGAUGCUCUUUUCCUUUGCAAGAACAACAUGAAUGUAGACGUACAAAGACUAAUAGUAACAGAAAAGCCAUAUAACUUGCAAUAAAAUACUAAUGUUCAAGAAUUCAAUAUAAAGUUUCAAAAGUGUAAGAAUGAAACAGCAAGUAUAAUGACAAUUGUUUGGAUGUUCAGUUCACCAGCUCAGAAGACUGGAUAUUGAAACUGAUUGAGGAUAUCAUUUAAUAUAUAGGAAAAAAAAAAAAAAA
rnacentral:misc_RNA from 1 species